GACGAACGCUGGCGGCGUGCCUAACACAUGCAAGUCGAACGGAGUUAAGAGAGCUUGCUUUCUUGACUUAGUGGCGAACGGGUGAGUAACGCGUGAGGAAUCUGCCUUUCAGUGGGGGACAACAGUUAGAAAUGGCUGCUAAUACCGCAUAAGCACACAGGGCCGCAUGGCCCGGUGUGAAAAACUCCGGUGGUAUAAGAUGGACCCGCGUCUGAUUAGCUGGUUGGUGGGGUAACGGCCCACCAAGGCGACGAUCAGUAGCCGGCCUGAGAGGGUGAACGGCCACAUUGGGACUGAGACACGGCCCAG
rnacentral:rRNA from 1 species